GCAUUAUUUAUGAUCGUCUCUGUCUACCCAGCAAACACAGAACGUUGUGAGGACGUCGCCAGUUUGUCGUCAUUUGGUCAACGCAACAUUACUUUAUGGCAACGUUGUGAGGACUUCGUGGUAAAGUUCCAUUUUUAGGAGCUCGGCUAACAUCCCAGAAACGUCGUGGGCAAGUCCUCAAAAGACGUCGCUAGGUAGUCCCAUUGGGGACGUUGUAGCGACGUGAUCAGCUGGUCUCCAGAUAACUUUUCAUAUUAUUCCACUGCAUGUAUUAUUAUUAUUAUUAAGAUACCAUUUGAAUAGCCUAUUAUUUGAGAAAUAUACUAAAUUCAUCAAGAAUUUUAAAAGAUGGCAUGAAUUAUUAUUAUAUUUUUAGAUAUAUAAAACAUUUAUCAAAUUAACGACAAAACAAAUAACAAAUAGUUUGCUUAGCAAAUGGUGAUAAUGUUCGUUAAUGACAGAUUUAUUGAAAGAGGGCACGGGACAAAUUAACAUUUAAACUAGCAGCGCGCGUCACUUUCUGAGUACUGUAACGUUAAGUGCGCGUGCCCGUCAUUAACGGUCAACUUCCAGCGGACGGACACGGAGGAAAAGGUAAGCGCUAUAAAUCUACUUUUAUUCAUAGUUUCUACUGAUAUAAAGUUAGAUGUCACCAAAGAGGAGUAGUGUUUUGUAUUUUUGUAGGUUUUCUUAUUCAGUUUAAUAAAUAAAAUGCUCUGUUUGGUUAGUUAGCUUAAGAGCAGUCUCAGAGGCGGUCUAAGAUAACGUUAACUAUUAAAAUCUUGAGAUACAAUUUUAUACCUGUUUUAAAUUAUUUGACAUUUAACACGAUAAACUAUACAAUAUUCACUUUCUAAUUCUUUAAAAUUUAACCGUAGUAACGUUAAUUAGUUUGUUUGAAUGUCUGCCGCUCGCGCUUGAUGAUGCUCACGCUAGUCAUAUUGUGAACUUGAAUAUAAACCGCUGUAUAAAGUUUAACGUUAAUUAGACCGAGGCUGCCGAAAUCAUGUUCAGUGUAUGUGGGAUUAAUGAUUUCCCCUUUUCUCCCUCAAGUGGUAGGCCUGUAAAUCCUGUCAUCUGCUCAUUAUUGGUGUUAAUGGUGUUUUUCACAUGCAUACUUUUUUAUGCUAGUUUCAUUCUCAAAUAGAUCUGAUACUUUAGUUUCAACAAAUAUUUAAUAAACAAAUGGUUCACUUUUUUUAGGUCCUGACUGCCACCAGUUGAGUCAAUGAUUCAGUGGAGAGACAGUCUGGGCAGCAGCAACAAGACAACUAUUACAAAUAGAGACGGGUUUCAAAAACUGACACAACCACAUAUCAUCUAAAUCAUCUCCAAGUGGAUGUCAGCAAGGAUCCAGGAUCAAGAGAUCAUUCUUCAUGAAGACUGUUCCAUAGGAAGCAGUGAAUCCUGGUUUGUUAUAUGUUUCAGGUCAUCCUGACCAUUCUACUGUCCUGGACGUGAGGAUAUGCUGAAACUGCAUUUCUCAUGGUUAAAAGAUUUGUGCAGCAGUAUCCAGAUAUACAAACAGCGUUUCUGGACCCACACGACUAAAGGCUCAGGAGGAGAGACAGGGAAAGAUGAAAAAUAAGGAAGUCUGGGAACAACUGAAGAAGACAACAGUGAGGAAAGGAAGUAAUAAUCAGAAUCUCAGAGAAGGAUAUUGACGGUGCAGGCUCAGGAUGAAGAAGAGGGGGAAGAACACGUUUAACAAUUUUCUCAUACCUUUGCCAUGUGUUAAAAUAAAAACAAUAAACCUGACUACAAUAAUAUGCUAAAUGUUAUUAAAAGAUUCCAGUUUGCAAUAAAUCUGGAGUCUCUGACUCUGCACUAGAGGAACUCUUUCCUGAAGAAGAUCAGGUGCUGAGAAGGAGCCUUGUUCUACAGCAAAACACUGCAUCAAGCCUCCUGUCCUUCCCUCAGAAGAGCCUGUCUUCUGCUGCUGGGGUAAGAAAGACACUCUUCCUCUUCUCUAUCAGAUGUCCAGCACCUAACUCUGCCUCCGCAGCACUGUCUGAAAGAGUCUUCUACACAGUCAGUUAUCAGAGAUUACACAUUCUCCUGAGAAACUCAACACG